rnacentral:piRNA from 1 species
AACUGAUCGGACAUCAACUUAAG